GACGAACGCUGGCGGCGUGCUUAACACAUGCAAGUCGAGCGGAAAGGCCCUUCGGGGUACUCGAGCGGCGAACGGGUGAGUAACACGUGAGCAACCUGCCCUUAGCUCUGGGAUAGCUCCGGGAAACCGGAAUUAAUACCGGAUAUGACCACGGCCGACAUCAGCUGUGGUGGAAAGUUUUUCGGCUGAGGAUGGACUCGCGGCCUAUCAGCUAGUUGGUGAGGUAACGGCUCACCAAGGCGACGACGGGUAGCCGGCCUGAGAGGGCGACCGGCCACACUGGGACUGAGACACGGCCCAGACUCCUACGGGAGGCAGCAGUGGGGAAUAUUGCGCAAUGGGCGAAAGCCUGACGCAGCGACGCCGCGUGGGGGAUGAAGGCCUUCGGGUUGUAAACCCCUUUCAGCAGGGACGAAGCGAAAGUGACGGUACCUGCAGAAGAAGCGCCGGCUAACUACGUGCCAGCAGCCGCGGUAACACGUAGGGCGCAAGCGUUGUCCGGAAUUAUUGGGCGUAAAGAGCUCGUGGGCGGUCUGUUACGUCUGCUGUGAAAACCCGGGGCUUAACCCCUGGCUUGCAGUGGAUACGGGCAGACUAGAGGUAGGUAGGGGAGAAUGGAAUUCCCGGUGUAGCGGUGAAAUGCGCAGAUAUCGGGAGGAACACCGGUGGCGAAGGCGGUUC
rnacentral:rRNA from 1 species